rnacentral:misc_RNA from 1 species
CAAAACUAAUUUAAUGUACAAAACUCAUUCUAAACAAACCUUGCAAAACACACAUAUGAGAGACGUGCACCCUUCCUGACCCAUUGCAACUUCUCCGAACGUCAGAAGUUCAUCAUAAAUUUGACAACUCAGAAGGAACAAAUGGAAAACCAACAAAAAUACUGAUGUCCAAUUAAUUCAAUGUGUUUUUGAGAAUUAUAUUGUUAGUUAGAGGCAUCUCAACAUCUAAGCAAACAAUUCUAGUUGCAACUCAUCAUCACUGAAUGAUUUAACAGAGAAGGUACGAAGGGGACAAAUUGCCCCAUGAUUAGAUUAGAUUGAACAUACAACAUUAAUUUUCCCUUGAACAGGAGGAAAAAAAAAUGUUAAAUAAAUUGUAAUGAGGGGGAUUAAAAGAAGAGGAAUUGUAGUAUUUUUUU